CUAUGUUGGUUUCUGAAGUAUAACACUGGCAGACAGCCUCCAAGGAAGAAAGUCCACUGGAAGCCACCAAAGAAUGCAGUGCUUAGUACAUUCCCUGAGCAGCACCAGUGACAUGACUCCUAUAAAGACCCCAUGGGAUUUUUAAAUCGUCUCUUCCAUGGUAGAAGCUCUAGAGGAGUACAGGCAGCAGUGACCGUGGCUUCUUGAAUCUGCCAGAGAAACAAGGUCAAGCUGACAGGGAUGGGAGAGGGGAAGAAGGGAGGGCCCCUUGCUGUGACUGGUUCUGCUGUGCUGUGGGAAACUUUCCACAUUAAAGUGACUGAAUCCCAUCACUUUCCAGCAGACCAUGCCUCCCUUAAUACAUUGUGUUUCUGCAGCAGAAGUGCUGUAUAAGAACCACACUACGCCAGGAAACAUACUCUACAGCGGUCUCUGCCCUUCACUUGAUCCCUCUCAGCACAUCUGCAAG